rnacentral:rRNA from 1 species
UGGGGAAUAUUGGACAAUGGGCGAAAGCCUGAUCCAGCCAUGCCGCGUGUGUGAAGAAGGUCUUCGGAUUGUAAAGCACUUUAAGUUGGGAGGAAGGGCAGUAAGCGAAUACCUUGCUGUUUUGACGUUACCGACAGCAUAAGCACCGGCUAACUCUGUGCCAGCAGCCGCGGUCAUACAGAGGGUGCAAGCGUUAAUCGGAAUUACUGGGCGUAAAGCGCGCGUAGGUGGUUCGUUAAGUUGAAUGUGAAAGCCCCGGGCUCAACCUGGGAACAGGAUCCAGAACUGGCGAGAUAGAGUAGGGCGGAGGGUGGUGGAAAUUCCGGGGGAGCGGUGAAAUGCGUAGAUAUAGGAAGGAACACCAGUGGCGAAGGCGACCACCUGGGCUCAUACUGACACUGAGGGGAGAAAGCGUGGGGAGCAAACAGG